UGAGAUGGCCAUUAAUUGCCUACUGGAAUCUUAUUUUUACUGGUCGCUUCAAAUUUUUGGACUUGUGUUGUGAAUUUUUAAAAUCUCAUUAUAAAAGAGCUGGCAAUACCCAAAGACACUUAGAAACUUCUGCUAGAGUUUUCAAAUGCGAUUGAUGACACCAUGAGCAAUUAUGAUGAAGAUGAUAGGUCUAUACUGUAUAAAUUGUAAUGUCCUCCUCUUUAAAUAAUUUGUAUUUUGUACAGCACUUUAAUGUAUGGCAGCUUUAUUUCUUUGUAAA